UACAGAGGGGGCAAGGCGUUGUUCGGAAUUACUGGGCGUAAAGGGCGCGUAGGCGGCCCGCUAAGUCGAACGUGAAAUCCCCGAGCUCAACUCGGGAACUGCGUCCGAUACUGGCGGGCUUGAAUCCGGGAGAGGGAUGCGGAAUUCCAGGUGUAGCGGUGAAAUGCGUAGAUAUCUGGAGGAACACCGGUGGCGAAGGCGGCAUCCUGGACCGGCAUUGACGCUGAGGCGCGAAAGCUAGGGGAGCAAACGGG
rnacentral:rRNA from 1 species